UUUCAGACUCAAAUGAACAAUCCUCCAUUCAAAAAGUCCGGAUGGUGGCAACCAAAAGAAAAUGUUCAUUGUACUCAUACUUCUUUUGGCUGUCGGCGGUGCCAUCGUCUUGGCCACAAUCAUCUUCAGCGGCUCAGGGGACGUUGUGGAUGAAGAGGAAGCCGACAAAUCCGGUGGCGGAGGCACAAGCGGAGGUGGAGACGGCGGCUCAACC